ACUUACCAAGGCAUAGCAGUGAAGUCCCUUUGAGGCAGUUGGAAGAAAAAUAAGCCAGAAGAAAGCAACUCGGCAAGCAUGAGGCAGUGGCAAGUGUUGGGCGUGUUGGGCGUCCUGUGUGUGGCCGCCACCAUCGCUCUCAGCGUCACGCUCCCGGAGACAACCAAAGUCAAUGAAAAAAAAUUUUAUUCCCCGAGACAUGCAGUGGGCCCAAGUCCCGGACUGCAAGUAGCAUCGACACUAAUGCAGGCUGAGGAUGCGGAGAAGACACUUCUUGAGGAGCCAGUCCCACCCAGUCAUCGUCAAAGCCUCGUCAAGAA